rnacentral:rRNA from 1 species
UAGGGAAUCUUCCACAAUGGACGCAAGUCUGAUGGAGCAACGCCGCGUGAGUGAAGAAGGUUUUCGGAGCGUAAAGCUCUGUUGUUGGUGAAGAAGGAUAGAGGCAGUAACUGGUCUUUAUUUGACGGUAAUCAACCAGAAAGUCACGGCUAACUACGUGCCAGCAGCCGCGGUAAUACGUAGGUGGCAAGCGUUGUCCGGAUUUAUUGGGCGUAAAGCGAGCGCAGGCGGAAUGAUAAGUCUGAUGUGAAAGCCCACGGCUCAACCGUGGAACUGCAUCGGAAACUGUCAUUCUUGAGUGCAGAAGAGGAGAGUGGAAUUCCAUGUGUAGCGGUGGAAUGCGUAGAUAUAUGGAAGAACACCAGUGGCGAAGGCGGCUCUCUGGUCUGCAACUGACGCUGAGGCUCGAAAGCAUGGGUAGCGAACAGG